rnacentral:rRNA from 1 species
CCUACGGGAGGCAGCAGUGGGGAAUAUUGCACAAUGGGCGGAACCCUGAUGCAGCAACGCCGCGUGGGUGAAGAAGUACUCCGGGAUGUUAAGCCCUGUCAGUAGGGAAGAAAAUGACGGUACCUAACCAAGAAGCCCCGUCUAACUACGUGCCAGCAGCCGCGGUAAUACGUCGGGGGCAGGCGUUAUCCGGAUUUACUGGGUGUUAUGGGAGCGUAGACGGCAAAGCGAGUCUGGGGUGAAAGCCCGUGGCCCAACCACGGGACUGCUUUGGAAACGGUGUUGCUGGAGUGCAGGAGGGGUAAGCGGAAUUCCGAGGGUAGCGGUGAAAUGCGUAGAUAUUAGGAGGAACACCGGUGGCGAAGGAGGCUUAUUGGACUGUAACUGACGUUGAGGCGCGAAAGCGUGGGGAGCAAACAGGAUUAGAUACCCCUGUAGU